AUAUGGAGUGUUUGGGCCAUGAGUCAUUAGUAUAUUCUACCUGCUGUUUGAGUUGUGUUCAGUGCAUAGUUUGCUCCUGGGCUUUUAUUGGUAGGGAGCUCACAGAAACAUAAGCUUUCAAUUUAGCAUUCUGUAAUAUAAAAUGUGGACAUUUCAUUAGUGUUAUAUGUUUACCUCGUUUAGACCUUUUGUUACCUUCUCUGUACUCUGUUUUUUCUUUCUUUUCUUUUUUUCUUUCUACCACUUAGAUAUUUUUGUCAGUCCUUUGCAUGUUGGUUACUUCAGUGUCAGAAAACAGGAUCACACAAAGUUCUUCCUUAAAAUAUUUAAAAUGUAUGGGUGCAUGCCUGGUGUUGGCAGACACUAGAAGAGGGAGUCUGAUUCCCCGAGGCUGUACUUAUGAAUGGCUGUGAGUCCCCCUGUAUAUGCUGGGAAUGGAACUCCUUGGAUCCUCUGGAAGAGCAGUCAGUACUAUAUAUACUAAAGUUUUGUUCAGUAAAUUACACGCAGGUGUGUGUUUUGGCUGUUGGAGGUCAGAGGACAUUCUGCAGUUUCUUUACCCACUUUUGAUAAUACCAAGGAUUGCAUUCUUGUCCGCAGCCAUAUACACACUGUUCUGUUUUCAUUCCUUGAGACAGGCUCUUAUUAUGUAAUAGCUCCACUGGCUUCAAACUUGGGAUCCCAUCACUUUCAGUUGCUAUUAUGAAUGAAUUUUAACAUUGUAACUGAAAUGAUGUGUCUUGGUGAUUCAUGGGAUGGAGCACAUAGCCUAGCACAUGUUAAGGAAGUGCUGCCACUGAAGUCUCCAAAUAAUCCAGAACAGUUAAUAAGGAGAAAUUACAGUGGCUCCUUUUGUAUUGUCUUGGUAUCCUUUAAAAAACAACAAAAAAUAGACCACUAAAUAAAACUUUAGCAUUUGCAAAUAAAGACAUGGUUGGGUCGGGGCAUAUAAUGGGGCUUAGCUGGUUAAAAAAAGCAUUUGCUGUGCAAGCCUGAUGACUUGAGUACGUCCAUAGACAGUAAAGGUGGAAGGAGAGAACUGCCCUGUGUCCUCCAUAACUAUGCUAUGUUCGUACCCCCACUCCAAAUUGUGUACGUAGAUAUACUUCUAAAGAUUUUGGAAAAGACACAGGCUUGGUUAGUUUAAGAUUAGCUGUGGAGAAUUUGUCAUGAUGAUGUGGAUUGUCUCUAAUUUGUGAAUUAUCUUACAGUAUGUUUUAACUGCUUAGAGCUGAAAGUCAAGAUAUGCGCGCCUAGGCUGGCUUCAAACUCAGCUAUCUGAUCCUCCUGCCCUUUGCAUCUGCUGGGUUCACAGGUGCUGGGGAUGAACCUGUGCUUUUUUAGUAAGCUCCAGCCCAGCCAUUCGAAAUACAAACAAACACAGCUCUGUAGUCCUGAUUGGCCCAGAACCCAGAGGUUGCCCUUCCUCUGCCUCCUGAGUGCUAGGAUUAAAGUAUUAUUCACCAUACUGACUUAAUGAUUCUUUUGUUUUUAGUUUGGGUAUUAUAAAUACAAGAAUAACUAUCCAUGUUGUAGACCUGCUGUCUAGGAAACCUCUGUGGCAUACAUACUUGGUUUGUUGUCUGCUAAUUAGUUUGAGAGCCUCUUUGUAAAUGAAAUGCCCAAGUUUUGUUUUUGUCUUUUCAGUUUUU
rnacentral:lncRNA from 1 species